CCUUGGGUCUGGAGUCUUGACUUCCUUUGAAGAGCAAUGGGAGGUCGUGGAAAGUUUGCAAUGGAGGAGAGAAGCGGACACAAUUUUGCUUUCAGAGACCACUCCGAAGGCUGGGCAGGGAGACAGCGGGAGAGCAGCUGUGACUUCCAGGCCUCAACCUCACUGCCCAGCACAGCCUGGCCAUGAACUCGCACGAGCCCCUCAUCAGUCCGUGCGCGUUGCCGGAGCAUUUAGGAGGCAUCUGGCUCGCUCCUCAGCAAACUGGCACCAUCGGAAAAUUACGCUCCCCUCCCGGUCAACGCAUUAAACUUAAAUGUUUUCUGUAA